rnacentral:tRNA from 1 species
GCAUUGGUGGUUCAGUGGUAGAAUUCUUGCCUUUCAUUCAGGAGACCCAGGUUCAAUUCCCAGUCAAUGCA